UUUAAAUAGCUGCGGUAAUUUAACUGUACAAAGGUAGCAUAAUAAUUAGUCUUUUAAUUGGGGUCUAGAAUGAAUGGUUUAACAAAAUGAAAACUUUAUUAAUUUAAUAAAUUUUAAUUUAAUUUUUUAGUUAAAAAGCUAAAAUAAUUAAUUGGGACGAUAAGACCCUGUAGAUCUUUAAUUAUUAAAAUGUAACUUUUUUUUGGGGUUUAAGAUAUUAAAUUUUUAAUAAUUUUAAUUGGGGUGAUGUUAAAAUUUUUAAAACUUUUAAUUAUUUAUUCACAUAAAUAGGUGUAUUGAUUAUGAUCCUGAUUUUUAGAUUGAAAGAUUAAGAUACCUUAGGGAUAACAGCGUUAUAUAUUUGGAUAGUACACAUUGAUAAAUAUGUUUACGACCUCGAUGUUGAAUUAAUUAAUAAAUUUUAAAGUAGAAGUUAAAAGUUUAGGUCUGUUCGACCUUUAAUUAAUUACA
rnacentral:rRNA from 1 species